UACAGAGGUCUCAAGCGUUGUUCGGAUUCAUUGGGCGUAAAGGGUGCGUAGGCGGCGCGGUAAGUCGGGUGUGAAAUCUUGGAGCUUAACUCCGAAACUGCAUUCGAUACUGCCGUGCUUGAGGACUGGAGAGGAGACUGGAAUUUACGGUGUAGCGGUGAAAUGCGUAGAUAUCGUAAGGAAGACCAGUGGCGAAGGCGGGGUCU
rnacentral:rRNA from 1 species